rnacentral:tRNA from 1 species
UAAGCUAUAGUCAAUUUUAUGAUAUAUGAGUUGCAUUCAUAAGGAGUUUGCUUUAAACUAGCUUUA